GCAGGUGGCAAGCGUUGUCCGGAAUUAUUGGGCGUAAAGCGCGCGCAGGUGGUUCUUUAAGUCUGAUGUGAAAGCCCCCGGGCUCAACCGGGGAGGGUCAUUGGAAACUGGGGAACUUGAGUGCAGGAGAGGAAAGUGGAAUUCCACGUGUAGCGGUGAAAUGCGUAGAUAUGUGGAGGAACACCAGUGGCGAAGGCGACUUUCUGGCCUGUAACUGACACUGAGGCGCGAAAGCGUGGGGAGCAAACAGGAUUAGAUACCCUGGUAGUCCACGCCGUAAACGAUGAGUGCUAAGUGUUGGGGGGUUUCCGCCCCUCAGUGCUGCAGCUAACGCAUUAAGCACUCCGCCUGGGGAGUACGGUCGCAAAGACUG
rnacentral:rRNA from 1 species